AGCCAGCCAUCAUGUCAUGAUGACAGUAAUGCAGCUUGUGGAGAGGAACCUGAGGACUCCUCCCAACAACUGGCACCAGACCCUCUCAGUUGCUGUACACAGACUGACCUAACUAAUGUCUACCUUAAUCAAGGAGUAUAUACAAAGAGCUCCAGCUUUACCAGAUGCUGCCUAGGAGAAAGCAGUUGUGAUAACUAUGAAAUGAUUGUGCAAAUUCACUGCAACGCAGAAUGAAGAUUUCAGAGAGAAGGAAUGGAAAUGACCAAGUCGCAAUAUCUCAUCAUCUCUACCCCAGACAAUGCUUCUGAGCUACUUUGUAAAAUCCAGUUCUCAAUGAUGGAUGGGAUAUGCGGUAUUAUAAAAAUGUGCUAAAAUAAUCAUUAAGAAGAAAUAAUUAUCAGGAAUGCCACACACAAAUAGGAAAUAACAUUGGUAGUGUUUAGUCUUGAAG